CUCUGCGAGCGAGCGCCCGCCUGCGCGCCCCGGGGGAGGGAGCGAGGGCUGCGAGCUGCGCGCCCGGCCGGGGAGGGCAGCGUCCUCCCCCGCGCCGGCGCCCGGGCCCCGGCUGCUGUCCCGGGAAGGCGGCCCCGCGAGCCGCCGCGGCCCGCUGGGGCUCGGGACUAGACGAGCCUCCGGCUCCGACAGCGUGCCCGUUCAGAAGCCCGCGCGGCUGGUCCCCAGCCCCGACCGGUCCCGCUCUGCCCCUCCCCGUCCCUGCCGGGCCCGGACCUGCGCCGCCCGCGAGGGCUGGAAGGCACUGGAAGCGCCGCCGGGGCUGCCCAGAGGCCGGGUCCCCGCUCCACUUUGCGCAAACUUGUUUUUCUAAGGUCCUUUGAGAUACAUUAUCUCACUGAAGCCUCAGCAACUCCGCGGUGUUCCCAGAGGUGAGGAAACACACUGAGAGACAGAACACGACUUGACCAGGGCCACCCUGUGGGGCACGCUGGCACCUGCACAGCCCAGCUUCACCUGGUUCCAGCCCUGCCCGCGCUCUGCUCCCCACUUCCCGUAACCCUGGGCUGGCGUCAGCAGGCAGGCCUGCCAGGAGGCUGGAGCUGCCAACGACCUAUUUUUCUGGGCAAGAAGAGCCAUUUGGAGUUAGAGGUCUCAGCUGUGAAGCCAGAACAAUAAAAAUAAAAACAGCACGGACUCCUGGGCAGCCUGGACCAGGGAACCAACUGCCCCAAGAGUUGCUGCUCACCAGGCUGGAAGGCAAGUGGGGUUGGGGGGAUGGGAGAUGGGAGUGACCUUACCGAGCCCCUGCUAUGUCCUCCGGCCCUUACAGAGUAAGGGUAAUCUCCAAGGUUCACAACAGGCCCUUUGUCUGGGUGGCCAGACCAGUCAGGAUUUGAACUCAGUUUUCCAAACAGUAACAAUUCCCAUCUGUUCAGCAGCUACUAUGCUUUACAGACUUGUGACAUUCAUACCACACCUGGGGGGGUGAGCUAAUCAUUCCCUCAUUCUACAGAUGAGGCAGCUGAGACUUCAGGAGGCCUCUGCUCACACGCCACCUCCUUGAGAGGCCUUGCCAGACCACCCUGUUAAAGUAGUCACCCUCACGCCUGCCCAAUAUGCCCUACCCUCUUCCCUAUUUUAUCUUCAUAGCAUGCAUCACGACCUGCUAAUAUUGUGUGUCUCCACUGCAUUUUGUCUGUCUCCCUAACUAGCUCCAGGUCAGUUUAUCCUAGUGGCUUGCACUCCAGCGGUCUCUCAGACUAGCCCCGUGGGGCAAGUUAUUUUGAUGAUCUGUGCUUCCUUCGGGGUAAUGAUAGGACCUUACCUGAAAGGUUUCUUGUGAGGGUUAAAUGAGUUAAUAUCGGUUAAGUGUUGGCCGCUGCCAUUGUUUUGUCCCAGAGCUGUAGCUCCAGGGUCUUUAACAGUAAACAAUAGGUUGUCAAUAAAUAUGUAUUAAAUUUAAAAACUGGGCUGGGCAUGGUGGCUUACACCUGUAAUCCCAGCACUUUGGGAGGCAGAGGUGGGAGGAUUGCUUGAGCCCAGGAGUUCCAGGCUGCAGUGACCUAUGAUUGCUCCACUGCACUCCAGCCUGGGCAACAGAGUGAGAACCUAUCUCUAAAAUAAUAGUAAGUAAAAAUAAUAAAUAAAUGAAGCUCUCUGCCCACGAUCCAAUCUCAGGGUAAGGAAUUGGCACAGCCUGGAUUUGAAGGUGGGUCUCUAUGAACCUGUGCUUCAAUCCAUCCCACUUCAUAAUCGCCUCUCCACAGGCCUCCAUCCAACCACAGCUGCACAGGCAUCAGAGCUUUGGUUCUACAACGUGAGCUGAUACCAAUAGCCCCUGGAGGGAUUGUUAAAACACUGAUUCCAGGGCCCUAGCCAUGGAGUGUCUGAUUCAGUAGGCCUUAGGUAAGGUCUGAAAAUCUGCAUUUCUAACAAGGUCCCAGGUGAUACUGACGCUACUGAUUCAGGGAUCACACUUUGAGAACCGCUGAAUAGACUGCCAUUCAAGCCAAGCCAAUCCUCUUGGCUCUACCUUCAAAAUAAACCCAGAAUCCAACCACUCCUUCCCACCUGCAUCACACUCCGGUCCCAGUACCUUCAUUUCUCACCUGGAUUAGUGCAGUCACUUCCUCACUGGCUCCGUACUUCCUGGACUCCCCACCUUGUUGCUUCUUCAAUAAAAGCCUCCCAAUGGCCUUCCACUCCUUCUCUUGGAGUAAAACCUGAAGUUCUCAGUGCAGCUCAAAAGGCCCCCUGUGAUCCCCUGCUUCACUGACCCGGUCUCCCCACACUCUCCCCCUUGCUCACUCCACUCCAGUUAAUUCACCAUCUCAGUAUUCCUUGAACAUGCCCAGCAGGUGCCUACCUCAGGGCCUUUGCACGGGCUGUUCCCUGUGCCAAGAACCCUCUUCCCCAGCUAGCUGCCUAGUUUGCCCCUGACUCUUCCUUAGGGUCUAUGCUCAAAUAUCACCUCUGCAGAGAAGCAUGUCCUGACCACUCAGCUAAAACUGUCCCAUCACUUCCUAUUCCCUACUCCACUUUAUUUUUUGAUAGCAUUUCCAUUUCUUGACAGCAUAUCAAUGUUAUACAUUUGAUUGGUUGCGUGGCUCUCCUACUGAUCUUUGAGCUCCAUGUGAGCUCUUUGCCUUUGUUCCCUAGCACCUGGAGCUGAGCCCACACAGAGUAGGGCCUCAGGCAGAAACUACUGAUAGAGUGAAAGAAGGAGCAGGAAGCAGGAAACAGGAAGCAGGAUGCAGCUCUGUCCAUGAGGGCACUGGCAGCUGGAUCCAGGGGCUCAGGCUCCGCCACCCGAGGGCCUGGCUUGGCUUGGGUUUCCUGAAGGAACAGGUGUCCUCGUUGGACUCCCCCGGCUGCUUUCCUGGGCAGGGAAGCCAAGACUCUAGUUGGCCUCAUUCCUGUACCCGAGAAAGGAAGUGUCCAUCCCUGGGCAGGAACUGGUUUGGCUCUCAGGGAAAGCCUAAACAACACAUACCACUGUCUUUGCUGCUGCAGCUUCCGAUUGGGACCAUGCCCUCUGGGUAGCAGUUGGCCACACCAGCCUUCAUGCUGCCACUGCUGCUGGAGCAAGGAGGGAAGUGGAUUGGGAAGUCUCCCAGAGCCCUUUGGACUGUAUCUGAUGGGAGCCUCAUAGCCGUGCCAUACCUAUUGUACAGAUGAGUAAACAGAGGCUCUACCUGACCAACAUAUUGACUUAGUGGCACAGAAAGGCCAUAAACCCAGAUCUUUUGAUAGCAAAUCCCUUAGUCCCCCUCCUUACUCCCAACUCACACCCUGCUGCCCCAACGCCUACAACCCUGGCUGGUUCAUACUUGAAAUUCCACCAUUAUAGUUUUCUUUCUCACUGUGUCUCAUUCCCUCUUCAGCAAAAAAGGUGGUAACUAUCCCCAUGAAUCUCUGGGAAUAGAUGAGGAGACUGAGGCGCAGAAAGGGAAAUGGGUGGCCUGAGCUCUCACGGCCUGUAGGCAUGACAGGCCAAGUUAGAAAAUGUUAGUCUGUUUUUCCUCUUUAUGUUUCUUCUCUUCAGCUUCAAGCAAAUAGUUGGGCUUAGUAAACAGGCACUGCAGGGAUUUAGGCAGAAAAAUGAACUCCCCUUAGUCUUUAGUAAAGUCUAAAACCAAAGAGAUUCCCAGGAAAGACUGGGAGAGAUUGGGGGCAAGCACACUGGAGAAGCUGGAGGGGGUCAGGCUGACAGGGGGUGCUGCCCCCACGCCAGCAGGAUUGGGGAGGGGACAAGGCCUCCAGGGCAGGCCUCACGGUGGCUCCAGGUAGCCAUAACUGUGUCUCAAGACCUCUGCCCUCAUGGAAGACCCCACAGCCCCACAGGGUGACUGAGAUGGGUGUCCCUUAGGGUGGGACAAUGGGCACGGCCUCCAUCAGCCAACAGAUAUUUAUUGAGCAUCUACUAUGGCCAGGGGCUCAGCUGGAUGCUGGAAAUGAGAUAGUCACAGUUCCUGCACUCAAGGCAUUCACAUUCUAGUGGAGGAGAUGGAAAGAUAAAUGUAUGAAUUAGGGGGGAGGGGAUGCUAUUCUAUGCAGUGGAGGUCUCACUCAGGGAGUGGAGUUUCCUAAGGAAAGUAUGAAGGAGAGCCAUAGGAACACCAGGUGAAAGGAAUGGCCAGUGCAAAGACCCCGGGAAGACCCUGGGAUGACAAGUUCAAGGGCAGCUGGGCAGCCAGGCAACGGGAAACUAGCCAGGAGUGAGGCGGGAGAUGAGGUUAGAGAGGAAGCAGGGUCCAGUCUGUUGGGCCGUGCAGGCCAAGGUGAGGCCUUCAGCUUUUACUCAGAACCAGAUGGGAGCCACUGCGGGAUUAGGAGCCGAGGAGCUGCAGGCAAGCAGUGUGGACAGAUUCCUGGAAGCCACCUCAAAUGUCCAGAGACUCUCUAAGACCCUGCAUCUGAGCAGGCUCUGGAGAGGAGAGAGCCCCAAGAAUGACCAAGGUUGGGCUUGCUUCACGUCACCCCCAUGGGAUACAUUCACAGACCAGAUGAGUUUAAGUAAUUUGAGGCUUCUCAAACUUUAUUCUUGCUAAAUGCAGAUUCUGACUUAGUAGGUUUGUAGCGGGGCCAAGAUUCUGCAUUUCUGAUAAACUUCCAGGUGAGGUUGAAGCUGCUGGUCCCUGGACUGCACUCUGAGCAGUGAAGAUUUAAAGGAAAGAAAUGGCCACAUCUGGCCCAACUGUGCCUGUGGUUUGAGAAUCAUACCUGCUGCUUGGCUUCAAGGCCGUCAUUCAGGGCUCUUGACAAAUCGUGCAGCCCCUCCACUCAGCCUGUUGCCCCCAAAAACCAAAUGGGUCUUUCCCCAGCUCCAUGCUUCCUGUAUGACAUAGGAGUGGUCAGGGUGGGCAGUGGGCUCCGGAGCCAGCUUACUUGGGUCCAGAUUCCAGCCGUGGCAGCUACAGGUGGCAAGACUGUGGGGAAAUGAUUUUAUUUGUCUUGCCAUUUAGUUUCUCAUCUGCAAAAUGGAAAACUCAUGACAGCUUCUUUACAGAGCUAUUUGAAGAUUCAAAGGCAUAAUAUAUAUCAAAAGUCUGGCACACAGGAGGGACUUCAUAAAUGUUAUAUCACUUUCCCUUCAGUUUCACCUGUCCUUUAAAGUAGUGAUCUAUGUACCUUUAUCUCAUUUUUCAAAUUUUUCUAUUUUGUGUAUGUGUUCUAUGAAGUACAUAACAAAGAAAUAUACAAAAAUUUGUAAAAAGUAUCAAAUGUACAUACAUUGAGGAAUACAUGUUUUAAAUGUUUUUACUGAUAGGGAAUAUGAUACAAAAAAUUUUGAAGACCACUGUUUUGAAGCCCAGUGGAAUUGAUAGAAAUAGACUCUCAGGGCUGGAAUAGAUUUUAAAGGCCUUCAAUUCCCCUGGCACCCACUCUCCCAUCUGAUGCCCAAAACCCUUGGUUGCACUAGAUUGCCUCCAGGGGUGGGGAGCUCACUACCUUUCCAGGCAAUCCAUUUUGUACAGCUCUGGGAAUGGUUUCCUGAACCCAGUGCCUAUCUGUAUUCUAGCUGCCUCUGAGUUCCCGGGGGCUGACUGAACUGCUCCUCCCCUUACUCCACUGUGUCAGAGCCCUGGGAUCUCCCAGGGGCCCAGUGCCAGGUUGUGUGCAGAGUGGGCCUAAAUAAUGUCCCAUGAAUGAGAGGGAGUGGGAGAUGGGGAUGAGAAGGGGGAUUCUGACAACUCUCAUUUGGAGGUAUGUUAACAGCUGAGUGCUGUUGUCCCCCUGGGAGUGUGUUGAUCUGUGUAACUCUGGAUCCGUAUCUAUUCGUUUGGAUUUAUUUGCAUGGGUUUGUACAUUUGAGUGUGUAUGCAUGCAUUGUGUGUUUUGCUGUGUGGCUAUAUAUGAGUGUGUGUGUAUGUCUAUGUUGCACCGCAAAUAUCCACGUGUGCUGUGCAUGUCUUUCUCUGUUUUUCUGCAUGCCUGCGUGUCCAGGUGUAUGUCACUGUGGGGUUGUGUGUCUGUCUCUGGUUUGUUUGCAUGUGUGUGAGUGCUGUACGCAUGUGGGCGUGUGCUGUUUGCACUGUCUGUGUGUGCGUGCACAUCUCUGUUUCUUUGUGUGUCUGUGUGCCUGGGGCCCUCCUUUGUGUGUCUCUGUGUGUGUGUCUGAAUCUGCAGGAGUGCGUUUCCCUUCCCUGCUCAGCCCUUUCAGGGAGCUGAGGUGAUUCGCUGCAGCCUGGUCGACUUAAGGCCGUCCGACUGGCAGGCAGCAUGGCUUCCACACCCUCCUCUCUGUUCUGCUGUGCUAAUCACUGGGUUAUAUGUAGAUGGCAAAUGUGUGGCUGCCAGGCUUGGAGGAGGGACUGUGGAGGGGGGUGUGCAGAUGAGCAGACACCAAAGAGUGAAAAGACAAUUUAAAGGCAGAAAGGGGGAAAACAAGCCUGCUUGGCUUUGGAGUUACGGGUGUGGGGUUCUUCCCAGAGGCGUGAAUUUUAUUAAGGGGAUGUGAUGACUACGAUGUCUUCCUUCCCCUAAUCAAGUAAGAGUCUUAGAAUCACAGGAUUCUAAAAUCUUGGAAUUGUCGAACUAUAGAAUUCUAGAAUCUCAGCCGAAUGCAACUCUAGACGCGUAGAACCUCUUCAAGGACCCUAAUCCUCCUGGGAUUUUAGCAUCUUCACAUGCACAUGCAGUUCUUCUUGUCCCCCUUCUCUUUGUAUAGAAUCAUGGCCAGAAAAUGACCUUGAAAGUUCAUCCAGUCCACCCCACCCUGGCUCCGGGCAGGGCAGUGGAGACAGAGGUCCAGCCAGUGAGGACAUUCUUGGAAGUGUUGCACUGGAAUCUUCCCUGGCUCUCUUGCUGGACAAGGACUUGUUGCCUGAAGGGUCUGGGGUCUCAUAUUACUCUCCCCACCGCCACCUGCCACAGGGACUGAGUUCCUGGCGAAGACAAAGGCACCUAUGUUCCUAGGAUAUGUUCUUAGCAGUUCAGGAGCUGACACAGGCUGCAGGUGUGGGGAGAGUAAAGGGGCAGGGCUCUGUUUCUCUGAGAUCCUCCCUCGGUGGAGUCUCAGUAACCUAGCCUGGGGUGGGGGUGGGUAGCUAACCAGGCAACCACACUCAUGCCCCAGGAUAUUCAGUGGGGUGUCUUCUUCCUCUUAUUGCUUCCUCUUACUGCUUAAAAGAGUAGACUAUAUCCGGUCGGGCACGGUGGCUCACGCCUGUAAUCCCAGCACUUUGGGAGGCCCAAGUGGGUGGAUCACCUGAGGUCAGGAGUUCAAGACCAGCCUGGCCAACAUGGUGAAACCCUGUCUCUACUAAAAAUACAAAAAUUAGCUGGGCUUGGUGGCGCAUACCUGUAAUCCUAUAAUCCCAGCUAAUCAGGAGGCUGAGGCAGGAGAAUCGCUUGAACCCGGGAGGCAGAGGUUGCAGUGAGCCAAGAUCACGCUAUUGCACUCCAGCCUGGGGGACAAGAGCGAGACUUCAUCUCAAAAAAAAAAAAAAAAAAAAAAGAGAGUAGACUGUGUCCUAUCUCAGGAAUCCUGGGAGCCAUGGACUAUCCCUGAGGGAGGGCAUUGCACUGUACUUUGAAACCCUCCAGGACUCACCUAUACUCUUUAAUGUGGCAGCUUUUCAGGCUCUGGCUACUAGCCAUCCCAUCCCUCCCUCCCUCCCUCCCUUGCUCCCUGCCUCACUCCCUCCCUUUCACACAUGUCCAGCCGCAGUGAACUCCCUAUUCACCUUGAAGCUACUUGACUUCAUGCCUCUGAAUGUUUGCACAGGCUCGCUCUCUUCUUUAUCUCUUCUUCUUGGUGCAAACCUUGUUCAUCCUUGGAAUACAAGCUCUCACUCAAUUGUAAGCACCAUGAGAGAGUUUGGUUUAUUUAAUACUUUAUUUCCCUGAAUCUACAACAUUUGGCACACAUUAGGUAUUGAACCAAUGUUUGUUAAAUGACUGACUGAAUGUACAGUUCAAAGUCAGCUCAUUUCCACUCUGAAGCCUCAAUUCUCCAACCCCUUCUAGAUAUUUCCCUGGGGCCCGCACCACGCCCGAGAUUACCUGUGGUUGUGAGCCCUUGCUUACUUCUUCAGCGGACAGGGAACCUCUUGAAGCUGGAGUCGUGUCUGGUUAAUCUUUUUACACGUAGCAUCCAGUUCAGGGCCUGGUACCCAGCAGGUGCCCAGCAAAUGUGGGGCCCUUGCCAGCAGCCUGGCUUGGUGACUUGAAAUCCCCUGUUGGUCCCAACUGCAUGCACCGGUCCAAGCUGUUGGCAACAUCUGCCUCAGAGUCUCAUUUGCAAUUAUACAUUCUCAGGCUCUUGCCACUUAAUAUUUAAUAACCAGGCGGGUGGCCUUCUCUGGCAGCCAGUUAAGUCCCUGAUUGCCUCUUGUCUGAACUUGGCCCCAAGUGAGGCAGGGACUGCUUUGGGGUUAAGUGUAAAGUCUGUGUCCUGAGUUGGGGGCUAGCAUAAGGCCAGACCGUUGGAGAUGGAGGAAGGAACGGCUGCUGGCUCAAGGCUUCUGGGUGACCUUACCAGGCAAGAGGCAGGUUGGGUAUUUGCUCCAACUGGUUCCACCUCUCCUCCCCUUCCAUGUAGGUCGACGCCCGCUCCUGGCCUCAUAACAGGGGAGGAGGAAGGGAGGAAAUUUGUUAAUGAGAGGGUCCCUGACUCACAUCUGAUUGGUCCAGGAGAAAGAAAGGGGGAUUCCGCCUGGGCUGUGUCCCAGCAGGAAAGGUGGUUCUAUCCUGUGUGGUUUGGCCACCAGGAGCCAGGGCAGUCCCUGUGAGGGCCUAUGGCGCCACGGAGUGGGGCUCUGGCAGCCGUGCCAGCCUCUCCUGGCACAAGGCUGGGGAAUCCUUCCAAGUUGGCUGUGGAAGGAGAUGAGGCAAAUGGUGAUGACCUGACCCUAGGGGUAACCCAAGCUGCUGCCGAGCUCUGUGAAACCCUGCAGGCCCAGGGAGGCGUGGGUCAGUUCUAAAGGCUGACCUCUGCAGAACUGCUGGGGUGAGAGGGCGCAGAGAGGCCAAGUGACAUCCAAAGGUCAUGGGAGGCUCCAGGAAGGGGAACAGCAAGCACAAAGGCUCUGAGGCUGGACUCUGCUACCGAAGCCCGAGGUCCAGAGAAGGACUCACACCUGGGAAUCUCAGACUUUAGAUCCCAGAGGACAUUUUACAGGGUCAAGAGAUCCCACUCUGCCCCUAACAAGCCCAGUGACCUGGGACAAGUCACCCUGGUGUUUAUGCUGUCACCGCACAUGUUGGGCAACAUGACUGCCUGAACCCUUCCUGCGUGGAGUCCUCUGUUAUCCCCUCAGAGGUCAUUUGGUGCAAUCCAGGAAUCUGAGACCAGAAAUGCCGCUCUGUUGAUCAACAGGGCUGGUUCCUGUAGAAGGUGGUGCUUAGUGUAGAACACUAUGCUUUCCCAAUGGGCAGUGUUUACCAGCACUUACUGUAUGCAAGGGGCCACGCUCAAUAAACCCUCUGCUAACAUACAUGGUCUCAAUCACCUGUGCCAUCCUUGUCCCUUCCCUUUCCCUCUCCUGCUCAUCAUCCUCAGAUCCUGUGACAGUAUCUUUAAAACCCAGCCCAGCCCUGGUCCACUGUCUCGUCCCACAUUCCCCUGCACUACCUUCUUAGACCACAGCUGCUGUCAUGCCCAUGGCUGUACCAGCCUCUUUUCAGCUCCCCUGCACCACCCUGGCCUCUGCAAUCCAUCCCCUACCAGCAGCCAGGAGGCCUUUGAACCAUCAAAAUCAGAUCACAUCCCUCCCCUGCUCUGAACCUCCAGGGACUGCCAUGGUGCUUCCAGUCAAAAUGAAUCCUGCAGCCAUGCUGCUCUACGUGGCCAGUCCCCACUCUUCUCCAUCCUGAGGUUGUCCAUCUUUGCUGCCCACUCUGCUUCAGCCACACUGGCCUCCUUCCUCUCCUCAAACGUGUCCCUUGAGGCCAACCUGGGGCCCUUCAAGGCUGUUGAUGUCACCUGCGCCUUAGUUCAAAUGCCUCCCCCCAGAGUAUCCUUCCUUCAUUCUCUAAAAGACCGCUCCUCCUUACAUCUGGCCCCUUGUUAUCCCAUUUCCAAGUUUUAUAGCACUUAUCACUUUCUCAUAUUUCUCUUAUUUAUUUAUGUGCACCCUCCCCCACCUGGAAUGCAAAUUUCGUCAGAACAAGACUUAGUCCCUGUUGUUCCCUGCUGGUUCCCAGUGCCUAGAAGGCACCAGCACGUGGCAGGGACUCCAUGGGAUUUGUCAGAGGAGGGAUGACAUGGCCUCGAGGGAUGAGUGUAAUAGUAGUAUCCCAUUUAAUAGGAAGCCCAGCAAUGCUAGGUGCCUGUGCAACUUACCAAACUUGUGAAGGGUGGAGUCGGGAUUCAAACCCCCAUCCAGGGGGCUCCAGCAUCUAUGCUUUUGUUCAGGAGGCUGCAUGCUGUGGUCAUGGUCAGAGCCCCUGAGCCCCAGGGACUCAGAGGUCAAUUAGGGGUGGGGGAGGGGGAGGCACUGGUGCUGGUGGUGCCUGGGAUGUACUUUUCGAUUUUGCCCCCAGCUGGGGCCCUACCUUAAGGUUAGGGUUCUGGAACGAGGGGCAGCCUCACCCAUACCCCUCUGCCCAAAGGCUACCCCUGUAGCUCCUGUUGAGGCUGCUGGGCCCCCUGGAAGUCCCUGGCUUAGCUGUGGGUCAGUGAGCUCAUCCCCUGCCCACCCUACGGCUUUCCAACGCUCCCUCCCUCUGCCGCAGUCGUUGCUACACAAGUUAAUGGAAUAACAAGACACUUUACCUAUUAUCUGAUGCAAAUACCUUUCCUCGCCAGCACCAGCUGUACAGCUCAGAUCUUCCUGUAACCCAGCAAACAGGCCUUCAGCUCCAGGCUCCAGCUGAAGAGGCCUGAGCACCAGCCAGGCACUGACAACCCCCUAGCUCGAGCCCUGGAAGGAGGGGUCAGGGGUGUUGUGCUGAUGGGGUUGUGGCACCAAUCUUAGUACUUUUCACCGGCGACCGUACAGUGAGGCCCACUGUGCACAGGUAGUUUGCAUAUUUCACCUUCACGUGAUUACAUACAAUUCUGAUCCUCACUAGGCAGAUGUGAGGAUGAAAGGCUCAGGCAAGUCUGUGUAGCGCUCAAGUGGUGGAUCCAGGUGGGUUUCACACCCACAUCCUAAAACUUGACCCCUCUCCUAUCCACUUCCUAAGGGCUUUGUCUGAGUGGCUCCAUUUAGACCCGAUUUCUCUAAUAGCUCCAUAGUAGGAGUUCUACUUAUAGACAAAGAAGACGAAGGGGGUAGCACCUUGCUCAGCCACACCAGGGUAAGUAGGACUGUAUGCCCAGGAAGGUGGAUGUGUGUAGGGGGGUGCAGUUGGGUCAGGAGAGUUCCCAAAGCUUGCCCCUUGGGAAGCUCUGUCCUGGGACCCCCGCACCACCAAAACACACCUGGCCUAGUUCAUAUUCAGUGCUGCAGGCAUGUACAGGGCAUGUACGCAGGCAUGUACAGGGCACCUAGCAGGUGCUGGGAUCACCCAGAUGGAAGGUGGACCUCCUCCAAACAACUACAUGAAUCUCACAGGAUGGCAGGACAGACUUAAGCUCCCUGUGCCUCAGUUUUCUCAUCUCUAAAAUGGGGAAGAUAAUACUGUUACUUCUUCUGUAGAGUUGUGCUAAGGAUGAAAUGAGAAUGAAGCACUUAAAAGAGGACCGAGCACAUACUCAGUGACCAAUCAACAGCCGUUUUUAUUGUCACCUCCAGAUCCCACAUAGGCAGCUCUUCUCGAGGUCUAUCGUCCUGACAAAUAAAGCGCUAGUUCUGUCUAGGUCAGAAUUGCCUCUAAGCCAGUGGUUCUUAAACUCCAGUGUGCGCUUCAGAAUCCAGUAGCAUCAUGUGAAAAAUGUAGCCACAGCAGGUCUGAAUGGGCUUUCUAGGAAGCUGCCUGCAUCCCAUUCUGACACAGGUGGUUUGCAGCAGGGCUCAGACCCAUUGCUCUGGGGGGCACCAAUGAGACUUUGUCAUGGGAACGUGACUCCUGGUGACCAGCCCCUCCUCAUCGCCAUCAAGGGAGGUUUAGGAUGUAGCAUAGUGGUCAAGGCCUUGCCAGGAGACCUGGGUUCAAAUCCCGGCUUCCCUCUUCUGGGCAAAUGGCUUCCCUCAUUUCCUUUUCUGAGACACAGAGGUUCCACAGUUCCCAUCUCCCUGUCUGAGGGUUGGAUGAAUGCCUAUCCAGAGUGGGCCUGAGACAUGUUGCACACCCAGCAAGCAGGAGUGGCUGCCACCUUCGCCCCGCAGCAGUUUGUCUUCUGAGGCUUCUGUCCCUGAGUGUUUUAUUUUCUGUUGAUAG
rnacentral:lncRNA from 1 species